UGUAUUUCAGUACCAUAAUAUUCUAGAUAUGUGUAGAUUAUUCUGUUCAUAUAUAUAUAUGCAUUUUAAAUCUGACCUCAUUUAGAAUUGUUCACUCUGUAGAAUAAAAUGUUUCUCCCUCCACCCUAUCUUUUUUUCCCUUUUAAACCUAAUUUUAUGCUCUAGACUUUGGUACUACAAUACAUUGGUGGAGACUCCUGAAAAACAAAAGUGCUAAUAUUAGUUCUUACUCAGCCUGUUUGAAAGAUGAUGGCUAGAGUGGGUCCCACAAACUGAUUUCAUUCUCCCCCAAAUCUCAUUUUGAAAAGAAUGGUCAACAUAAAAGAAAUGCGAGAUACAAUAGUCAUAGAAAUAAGACAGUUAUUUUCCCUGUAAGAGUCCAUUAAGGUUGAGACAGAAAUAUUUAAAGACGAAUCUAAAUCUAGAACUUUCUGAAUCUCAAAGGAAAAAAAAUCAGCUGUCUAAAUAGGAGAGAAAAUUAGGGUAGCUGUCAAGAAGGGGGAAAAAUCAAUUGAUAUCACUUCUCAUCUAAAACAUAAAUACUAAAAGAGAUUGAGAAAAGCCUUCAGAAUCCUGAGGGGUUAAGAAUUUCAACCAUUGAAUUUUCUUCCAAGACUAAUUAUUCUUUAGAUCUCAGGUUAUUCUAACAAAACCUAAUAGACUAUUAGGGCUAAAAGCAUGCUGGAAGUCUUAUCUCGUGAAGGGAUAGCGAAGGAAAGGGGUGGUAGAUGCUCUUUAAUGCUUGGCAUUUAGAAAGAAUUUUAAAACUAUUUGUUUAAAACUAUAAGACAAACCAUAAAUAGUAUAGAAGUAGGAUUUACUACUUUUAAUCUGCCAGCUAAAAGGGGUGGGCAAAGAAGAAAGAAACCUCCCAGUCCUUAGAGGAGGUGUGGGGCCGGGGAUGUGGUAAGACAGGACAGCUCCGAGAACGUAAAAUGAUCAAGAAAGGAAAGAAGACAAUAGAUCUGAACACUCUAUUAAAAUGCUAAAAGACAUGAUAUAAAAUGGCCACAUGAUGGCAUAUGUUGUUUGCCUAUGAUAGGCAGAAAAUAAGGAUAAACGUGGAAAAUAGAGAUUUCCAUGGUGUGACCUUUAAAAAGAUAGCCAGAAUGACAAAUCAGUAACAGAAAAUGAAAUGUGAAAUCAAAAGUAUUAAAUGAAAUAGACACAGCGAUUUUCUAUGCUUUUCCAAGAUAAUGUUAGGCUUGUGAUUCUUUUUACACUGUAAAGUGUACACAGUUUUGAGAAGCAGAGGUAGCAUUUAGAAGCACUGUAGUAUGGUAAGAAAGACACAGCUUUGGUGUGAGCAGUAAACUCAUAAAUCACUGUACUCCUUACUAGCUUCUUACCCGGGCAGGUUCCUUAUCCUGUCAGUGCCUCGGUUUGCAAGUGUAGGGUCGGGUGAGUGGGGGCUGUCAGCCAGGCCGGAGUCAAGGUCGUCGUCCAUCGCUUGGCAGAGGAGUGCCUUGAGUGUUACUCAGUAACUGACAGGUCCCACACAGAAGGAGAAAGGCUGCAGGGAGAUGAAUGACUCAGUUAAUAAGCUACACAACCUUCAUCGCAGGUCUCAUACCAUGGUACGUCAUUUAUUCAGAUGCCCUGAGGCAGGUUUAGAAAAAUUAAUCACGGAAAAUCUUUACUUCUAAAAAGUAGAUACCGUGCAGGGCGCAUUCCCACCCAGAUACAACAACAAGAUGUUGAGAAAUUUAACUGUUAAUGUAAAUUUAAAUGUUUUUCCUAAUUGGUUUCACAUUAGGUAAAAACUAGAAUUAUAGAUUGUAUAGGAGAGUGAAUGGCAGGGAGGUGCUGGCAAAGCUAAACUGAGGGGAAAAUUACACUAUUAAAUGCUUUAAAGAAAGAUGGAAAAGUAAACAAACCUAGGCAAUCAAAGUGAGGAUCUAAAGAGCAAUAGGAAAAUAUACUUUGAAAAAGGAAUUCACAAAAGCAGAAAUUAAAAUAAAGGCAGUGAUCUUAAGCACUUUUGUUAGAACUAAAAAAAAUUAUUAGAAAUGAAAACAUUCAUAACCAUGGUGGAAUUUUAGACUGUUUGAAUAUGCUCCUGGAACUACCUAGAUUAUUCAUGUCAUGCGUGUCUUUAAAAAAAAAAAAAAA